rnacentral:ncRNA from 1 species
AGUGGUGAUAGAGGUGCGAAAGUCAAAAGUACCCGUGCGGAGGAAGAUGAAUCCGAAGAAGCGCGGAAAAAGGGACAAUCGCCGAAGUCUGCAAUCCUUUCAUCAGGAUGCAAACUGGUUCUGUAUUUAAUAAAUGCAGAGCUGUCAAGAUGAUUCCUCAUCUUGGAGAGCUAUCUCACCU